rnacentral:rRNA from 1 species
UAGGGAAUCUUCCGCAAUGGGCGAAAGCUUGACGGAGCAACGCCGCGUGAGUGAUGAAGGUCUUCGGAUCGUAAAACUCUGUUAUUAGGGAAGAACAAAUGUGUAAGUAACUAUGCACGUCUUGACGGUACCUAAUCAGAAAGCCACGGCUAACUACGUGCCAGCAGCCGCGGUAAUACGUAGGUGGCAAGCGUUAUCCGGAAUUAUUGGGCGUAAAGCGAGCGCAGGCGGUCAAUUAAGUCUGAUGUGAAAGCCCCCGGCUCAACCGGGGAGGGUCAUUGGAAACUGGUUGACUUGAGUGCAGAAGAGGAGAGUGGAAUUCCAUGUGUAGCGGUGAAAUGCGUAGAUAUAUGGAGGAACACCAGUGGCGAAGGCGACUCUCUGGUCUGUAACUGACGCUGAGGCUCGAAAGCGUGGGUAGCAAACAGG